rnacentral:misc_RNA from 1 species
GAUGAAGAACGUAGCGAAAUGCGAUAAGUAGUGUGAAUUGCAGAAUUCAGUGAAUCAUCGAAUCUUUGAACGCACAUUGCGCCCUUUGGUAUUCCUUAGGGCAUGCCUGUUCGAGCGUCAUUUAAACCUUCAAGCUAAGCUUGGUGUUGGGUGACUGUCCGCUUCACGGCGGACUCGCCUCAAAAUUAUUGGCGGCCGGUACAUUGGCUUCGAGCGCAGCAGAAACGCGAACUCGGGCCCGUCGUAUUGGCUCCCAGAAGCUAUCUUCACAAUUUUGACCUCGGAUCAGGUAGGGAUACCCGCUGAACUUAAGCAUAUAAUAAGCGGAGGA